GUUUCCAGGGGUCACUGUGUAGGGACUUCAUGACGUACUUUUGCUGUCCAAUGUGUGCCACCUGCCAACUGAAGAGAGAUAUUGACCGCAGAAAGGAGCAAGGCAUUUUCUGAACAGCUGCAAUCCGCUGAGGGAAAUGACGUUCAUCACUUCCAGUCUGUUAACCAUUAGUCAGCUGCCUGGGAGUGGAAACACCUUCAUGAUUUAUUGUUACGGUUACAUAAAAACAUUUUAAAAGUUGUAUCUGUGCUGUCCUGUGCAGUUGACAGGAUGUGGAUUCUGUGUGUUUAACGGUGUUCUUUAUACUAAUAAAAAAUUAAAUUA